CGUUCCGGGACCCGGCGGAGGAAGGGAAGGCCUGGCUGUCCAGCGGAAUCCGCCUGGACGCACGGAACUCGCGGACCCGACCGGAGCAGCUCUUCGGGCCCUGGCGUGAACCCUUCUCCCAGAGGCACAUGCCCAGAACCCAGCAAUGGCCAAUGGGACCUUGAUGGCCGAGGGCCAGUUAGCUUUUCUAAACCCUACCUGGAUAAGGAUAAGAAAUAGAAGGAGGGGACACUUUAGG
rnacentral:lncRNA from 1 species